rnacentral:rRNA from 1 species
AUUGAACGCUGGCGGCAGGCCUAACACAUGCAAGUCGAGCGGAUGAGGAAAGCUUGCUUUUCGAUUCAGCGGCGGACGGGUGAGUAAUGCCUAGGAAUCUGCCUGUUAGUGGGGGAUAACUCGGGGAAACUCGGGCUAAUACCGCAUACGUCCUACGGGAGAAAGUGGGGGAUCUUCGGACCUCACGCUAACAGAUGAGCCUAGGUCGGAUUAGCUAGUAGGUGAGGUAGUGGCUCACCUAGGCUACGAUCCGUAACUGGUCUGAGAGGAUGAUCAGUCACACUGGAACUGAGACACGGUCCAGACUCCUACGGGAGGUAGCAGUGGGGAAUAUUGGACAAUGGGCGAAAGCCUGAUCCAGCCAUGCCGCGUGUGUGAAGAAGGUCUUCGGAUUGUAAAGCACUUUAAGUUGGGAGGAAGGGUUGUAGAUUAAUACUCUGCAAUUUUGACGUUACCGACAGAAUAAGCACCGGCUAACUCUGUGCCAGCCGCCGCCGUAAGAC